GAUGAACGCUGGCGGCGUGCCUAAUACAUGCAAGUCGAACGCACAGCGAAAGGUGCUUGCACCUUUCAAGUGAGUGGCGAACGGGUGAGUAACACGUGGACAACCUGCCUCAAGGCUGGGGAUAACAUUUGGAAACAGAUGCUAAUACCGAAUGAAACUUAGUGUCGCAUGACACAAAGUUAAAAGGCGCUUUGGCGUCACCUAGAGAUGGAUCCGCGGUGCAUUAGUUAGUUGGUGGGGUAAAGGCCUACCAAGACAAUGAUGCAUAGCCGAGUUGAGAGACUGAUCGGCCACAUUGGGACUGAGACACGGCCCAAACUCCUACGGGAGGCUGCAGUAGGGAAUCUUCCACAAUGGGCGAAAGCCUGAUGGAGCAACGCCGCGUGUGUGAUGAAGGCUUUCGGGUCGUAAAGCACUGUUGUAUGGGAAGAACAGCUAGAAUAGGGAAUGAUUUUAGUUUGACGGUACCAUACCAGAAAGGGACGGCUAAAUACGUGCCAGCAGCCGCGGUAAUACGUAUGUCCCGAGCGUUAUCCGGAUUUAUUGGGCGUAAAGCGAGCGCAGACGGUUGAUUAAGUCUGAUGUGAAAGCCCGGAGCUCAACUCCGGAAUGGCAUUGGAAACUGGUUAACUUGAGUGCAGUAGAGGUAAGUGGAACUCCAUGUGUAGCGGUGGAAUGCGUAGAUAUAUGGAAGAACACCAGUGGCGAAGGCGGCUUACUGGACUGUAACUGACGUUGAGGCUCGAAAGUGUGGGUAGCAAACAGGAUUAGAUACCCUGGUAGUCCACACCGUAAACGAUGAACACUAGGUGUUAGGAGGUUUCCGCCUCUUAGUGCCGAAGCUAACGCAUUAAGUGUUCCGCCUGGGGAGUACGACCGCAAGGUUGAAACUCAAAGGAAUUGACGGGGACCCGCACAAGCGGUGGAGCAUGUGGUUUAAUUCGAAGCAACGCGAAGAACCUUACCAGGUCUUGACAUCCUUUGAAGCUUUUAGAGAUAGAAGUGUUCUCUUCGGAGACAAAGUGACAGGUGGUGCAUGGUCGUCGUCAGCUCGUGUCGUGAGAUGUUGGGUUAAGUCCCGCAACGAGCGCAACCCUUAUUGUUAGUUGCCAGCAUUCAGAUGGGCACUCUAGCGAGACUGCCGGUGACAAACCGGAGGAAGGCGGGGACGACGUCAGAUCAUCAUGCCCCUUAUGACCUGGGCUACACACGUGCUACAAUGGCGUAUACAACGAGUUGCCAACCCGCGAGGGUGAGCUAAUCUCUUAAAGUACGUCUCAGUUCGGAUUGUAGUCUGCAACUCGACUACAUGAAGUCGGAAUCGCUAGUAAUCGCGGAUCAGCACGCCGCGGUGAAUACGUUCCCGGGUCUUGUACACACCGCCCGUCACACCAUGGGAGUUUGUAAUGCCCAAAGCCGGUGGCCUAACCUUUUAGGAAGGAGCCGUCUAAGGCAGGACAGAU
rnacentral:rRNA from 1 species